rnacentral:rRNA from 1 species
CCUACGGGAGGCUGCAGUGGGGAAUAUUGGGCAAUGGAGGCAACUCUGACCCAGCAAUGCCGCGUGAGUGAUGAAGGUAAUUUUAUUGUAAAGCUCUUUUCUUUGGAACGAAUAAAUGACGGUACCAAAGGAAUAAGCCCCGGCUAACUACGUGCCAGCAGCCGCGGUAAUACGUAGGGGGCAAGCGUUGUUCGGAAUGACUGGGCGUAAAGGGUGUGUAGGUGGUUUGAUAAGUUAGAUGUGUAAUACCCAGGGCUUAACUCGGGUGCUGCAUCUAAAACUGUUAGACUUGAGUAAUGGAGGGGGAACCGGAAUUCUCGGUGUAGCAGUGAAAUGCGUAGAUAUCGAGAGGAACACUCGUGGCGAAGGCGGGUUCCUGGACAUUAACUGACGCUGAGGCACGAAGGCCAGGGGAGCGAAAGGGAUUAGAUACCCCAGUAGUC